GAUCUGUGAUGAGAAAUAGCCAAAUCUGAGCACCAGUAGAUCACCUGGUUUACAUGGUGUAUGAUCUAUAUACAGUUCUGGGA
ensembl:snoRNA